GGAGGAAAGUAGGGGAUCGAAAGACCUUAUGCUUUUGGAGCGGCCGAUGUCUGAUUAGCUAGUUGGUAAGGUAAUGGCUUACCAAGGCAACGAUCAGUAGUUGGUCUGAGAGGACGACCAGCCACACUGGGACUGAGACACGGCCCAGACUCCUACGGGAGGCAGCAGUGGGGAAUUUUGGACAAUGGGCGCAAGCCUGAUCCAGCAAUGCCGCGUGAGUGAAGAAGGCCUUCGGGUUGUAAAGCUCUUUCAGUUGAGAAGAAAAGAUUGUAACUAAUAAUUGCAAUCCAUGACGGUAUCGACAGAAGAAGCACCGGCUAACUACGUGCCAGCAGCCGCGGUAACACGUAGGGUGCGAGCGUUAAUCGGAAUUACUGGGCGUAAAGGGUGCGCAGGCGGUUUUGUAAGUCAGAUGUGAAAUCCCCGGGCUUAACCUGGGAACUGCGUUUGAAACUACAAAGCUAG
rnacentral:rRNA from 1 species